GACGAACGCUGGCGGCGUGCUUAACACAUGCAAGUCGAGCGGAAAGGCCCCUUCGGGGGUACUCGAGCGGCGAACGGGUGAGUAUCACGUGAGUAAUCUGCCCUUGGCUUCGGGAUAGCUUCGGGAAACCGAAAUUAAUACCGGAUACGACCACUCCCCGCAUGGGGUGGUGGUGGAAAGUUUUUUUCGGCCAGGGAUGUGCUCGCGGCCUAUCAGCUUGUUGGUGGGGUAAUGGCCUACCAAGGCUUCGACGGGUAGCCGGCCUGAGAGGGUGACCGGCCACACUGGGACUGAGACACGGCCCAGACUCCUACGGGAGGCAGCAGUGGGGAAUAUUGGACAAUGGGCGGAAGCCUGAUCCAGCAACGCCGCGUGAGGGAUGACGGCCUUCGGGUUGUAAACCUCUUUCACCACCGACGAAGCGCAAGUGACGGUAGGUGGGGAAGAAGCACCGGCCAACUACGUGCCAGCAGCCGCUGUAAGAC
rnacentral:rRNA from 1 species